rnacentral:rRNA from 1 species
UAGAUGGCGGACCGGCGCACGGGUGAGUAACACGUACCCAACCUGCCGAUAACGCGGGGACGUCCUUUCGAAAGAAAGAUUAAUACCCGAUGGUGUAAUCAGACCGCAUGGUUUGAUUAUUAAAGAAUUUCGGUUAUCGAUGGGGAUGCGUUCCAUUAGGCAGUUGGUGAGGUAACGGCUCACCAAACCUUCGAUGGAUAGGGGUUCUGAGAGGAAGGUCCCCCACAUUGGAACUGAGACACGGUCCAA